rnacentral:rRNA from 1 species
UAGGUGAACCAGCGGAGGGAUCAUUACCGAGUUAUACAACUCAUCAACCCUGUGAACAUACCUAAAACGUUGCCUCGGCGGGAACAGACGGCCCCGUAACACGGGCCGCCCCCGCCAGAGGACCCCCUAACUCUGUUUCUAUAAUGUUUCUUCUGAGUAAACAAGCAAAUAAAUUAAAACUUUCAACAACGGAUCUCUUGGCUCUGGCAUCGAUGAAGAACGCAGCGAAAUGCGAUAAGUAAUGUGAAUUGCAGAAUUCAGUGAAUCAUCGAAUCUUUGAACGCACAUUGCGCCCGCCAGUAUUCUGGCGGGCAUGCCUGUUCGAGCGUCAUUACAACCCUCAGGCCCCCGGGCCUGGCGUUGGGGAUCGGCGGAAGCCCCCUGCGGGCACAACGCCGUCCCCCAAAUACAGUGGCGGUCCCGCCGCAGCUUCCAUUGCGUAGUAGCUAACACCUCGCAACUGGAGAGCGGCGCGGCCACGCCGUAAAACACCCAACUUCUGAAUGUUGACCUCGAAUCAGGUAGGAAUACCCGCUGAACUUAAGCAUAUCAAUAAGCGGAGGAAAAGAAACCAACAGGGAUUGCCCCA